rnacentral:rRNA from 1 species
CUCAGUAACGCGUAGUCAACCUAACCUAUGGACGGGAAUAACCUCGGGAAACUGAGAAUAAUGCCCGAUAGAACACUAUGCCUGGAAUGGUUUGUGUUCCAAAUGAUUUAUCGCCGUAGGAUGGGACUGCGGCCUAUCAGUUUGUUGGUGAGGUAAUGGCCCACCAAGACUAUUACAGGUACGGGCUCUGAGAGGAGUAGCCCGGAGAUGGGUACUGAGACACGGACCCAGGCCCUAUGGGGCGCAGCAGGCGAGAAAACUUUGCAAUGUGCGAAAGCACGACAAGGUUAAUCCGAGUGGUUUGUGCUAAACAGACCUUUUGUUAGUCCUAGAAACACUAACGAAUAAGGGGUGGGCAAGUUCUGGUGUCAGCCGCCGCGGUAAAACCGGCACCUCAAGUGGUCAGGAUGAUUAUUGGGCCUAAAGCAUCCGUAGCCGGCUCUGUAAGUUUUCGGUUAAAUCUGUAUGCUCAACAUACAGGCUGCCGGGAAUACUGCAGAGCUAGGGAGUGGAAGAGGUAGACGGUACUCGGUAGGAAGGGGUAAAAUCCUUUGAUCUAUUGAUGACCACCUGUGGCGAAGGCGGUCUACCAGAACACGUCCGACGGUGAGGGAUGAAAGCUGGGGGAGCAAACCGGAUUAGAUACCCGGGUAGUCCCAGCUGUAAACUAUGCAAACUCAGUGAUGCAUUGGCUUGUGGCCAAUGCAGUGCUGCAGGGAAGCCGUUAAGUUUGCCGCCUGGGAAGUACGUACGCAAGUAUGAAACUUAAA